CAACAAGCAACUCAAUCAAUCUGUACGAAAUAAAAAGCUGAAUCAAUCGCAACGGGCCAUGCGAACUCAACCCCCCCAGUCAAUCCCGGAGGAAUAACAAGAAACAUAUAACGAUCCACUAAACUCAUCUCACACAAUGCACUGAUCUAGGGACUUUGGUAGACGUGUCCCACACUACGUCCUCCCCUCCUUGGUCCGAAGGAUCCUUAAGAAACAAUUUCAUUCAGACCUCAAUGCCCAAACACUUUAUUUACACACUUACCUCUUUCAAUCCCCUUCCGCUGCAAAAUUUAUAAACAUCAUAAUGUCAAUAUUACUACAUUAAGCAAACAUGAUUAUUUAUUAAUAAAAAAUUGUGAUUUAUAAA
rnacentral:sRNA from 1 species